AGUGAACGCUGGCGGUAGGCCUAACACAUGCAAGUCGAACGGCAGCACAGAGGAGCUUGCUCCUUGGGUGGCGAGUGGCGGACGGGUGAGGAAUACAUCGGAAUCUACUCUGUCGUGGGGGAUAACGUAGGGAAACUUACGCUAAUACCGCAUACGACCUACGGGUGAAAGCAGGGGAUCUUCGGACCUUGCGCGAUUGAAUGAGCCGAUGUCGGAUUAGCUAGUUGGCGGGGUAAAGGCCCACCAAGGCGACGAUCCGUAGCUGGUCUGAGAGGAUGAUCAGCCACACUGGAACUGAGACACGGUCCAGACUCCUACGGGAGGCAGCAGUGGGGAAUAUUGGACAAUGGGCGCAAGCCUGAUCCAGCCAUACCGCGUGGGUGAAGAAGGCCUUCGGGUUGUAAAGCCCUUUUGUUGGGAAAGAAAUCCAGCCGGCUAAUACCUGGUUGGGAUGACGGUACCCAAAGAAUAGGCACCGGCUAACUUCGUGCCAGCAGCCGCGGUAAUACGAAGGGUGCAAGCGUUACUCGGAAUUACUGGGCGUAAAGCGUGCGUAGGUGGUUAUUUAAGUCCGUUGUGAAAGCCCUGGGCUCAACCUGGGAACUGCAGUGGAUACUGGAUGACUAGAAUGUGGUAGAGGGUAGCGGAAUUCCUGGUGUAGCAGUGAAAUGCGUAGAGAUCAGGAGGAACAUCCAUGGCGAAGGCAGCUACCUGGACCAACAUUGACACUGAGGCACGAAGCGUGGGGAGCAAACAGG
rnacentral:rRNA from 1 species